UAGCCUACGGGGGGCAGCAGUGGGGAAUAUUGGGCAAUGGGCGCAAGCCUGACCCAGCAACGCCGCGUGAAGGAGGAAGGCUUUCGGGUUGUAAACUCCCUUUAUUGAGGACGAAACAAAUGACGGUACUCAAUGAAUAAGCCACGGCUAACUACGUGCCAGCAGCCGCGGUAAUACGUAGGUGACAAGCGUUAUCCGGAUUUACUGGGUGUAAAGGGCGUGUAGGCGGGACUGCAAGUCAGAUGUGAAACCCAUGGGCUCAACCCAUGGCCUGCAUUUGAAAC
rnacentral:rRNA from 1 species